UGAACGCUGGCGGCGUGCCUAAUACAUGCAAGUCGAGCGAACAGAUGAGGAGCUUGCUCCUCUGACGUUAGCGGCGGACGGGUGAGUAACACGUGGAUAACCUACCUAUAAGACUGGGAUAACUUCGGGAAACCGGAGCUAAUACCGGAUAAUAUAUUGAACCGCAUGGUUCAAUAGUGAAAGACGGUUUUGCUGUCACUUAUAGAUGGAUCCGCGCCGCAUUAGCUAGUUGGUAAGGUAACGGCUUACCAAGGCAACGAUGCGUAGCCGACCUGAGAGGGUGAUCGGCCACACUGGAACUGAGACACGGUCCAGACUCCUACGGGAGGCAGCAGUAGGGAAUCUUCCGCAAUGGGCGAAAGCCUGACGGAGCAACGCCGCGUGAGUGAUGAAGGUCUUCGGAUCGUAAAACUCUGUUAUUGGGGAAGAACAAAUGUGUAAGUAACUAUGCACGUCUUGACGGUACCUAAUCAGAAAGCCACGGCUAACUACGUG
rnacentral:rRNA from 1 species